GGUCUAAUAGUGUAGUGGUUAUCACUCCGGAUUUUGAUCUUGAUUGUCGAAAGCAUUCCGGCAACCCCAGUUCGAAUCUGGGUUAGACCU